rnacentral:tRNA from 1 species
CUCUUUAAAGCUUACAGCCUUUCACUUACACUGAAAAAAAUCUUUUAAAAACU